rnacentral:lncRNA from 11 species
CUCUUCUUCUCCCCCGUCCGCCUGCCUGCUUGCCCCUCUCUCCCUCUCUCGCCUCUCUCUGUGUCGAGAUCUGGCACACACACGGUCUUGCUCUCUUAACUCCCAGAUCUUUGUUUUCGGUGGUGGCAGCCAGAAAGAGGAAGAGAGCGCUGUGCUCUCACUUCCCACUGGCUUCCUUUAUUGAAGGGAGAGAAAAAAAAUCCCCCAACUCUCUCUCUCUCCUCUUCCAACUUUUGCUCCAGUUAUUCGCUUCUCAGCCUUACUGGCAGCCUUUGCAGAAAAACCUACUCUCCAGCCUUGGACUUUUGUUUUUCCUUAAGAUGAAGGAUGCAAGAAGAAUGAAGUACAACAUCUUUUACAGCCCAAGAGUCAUAAAGGAACAGGUAGUCAUUUCAAUCCGUAUCUUGGUAAUUCUAAGACAGGUUCCUCUGGGAUGGACUACGCUCUUGUUUUAA